AGGGCACCACCAGGAGUGGAGCCUGCGGCUUAAUUUGACUCAACACGGGAAAUCUCACCAGGCCCGGACACCGGAAGGAUUGACAGAUUGAGAGCUCCUUCUUGAUUCGGUGGGUGGUGGUGCAUGGCCGUUCUUAGUUGGUGGAGCGAUUUGUCUGGUUAAUUCCGAUAACGAACGAGACUCUGGCCUACUAAAUAGAUGUCAGAUCCUUUAUGGGUUUGUCAGAUGCUUCUUAGAGGGACGGGCGGCGUUACAGCCGCACGAGAAUGAGCAAUAACAGGUCUGUGAUGCCCUUAGAUGUUCUGGGCCGCACGCGCGCUACACUGAAGAAAUCAGCGUGUUUUCCUCAUCCGAAAGGAUUGGGUAACCCGUUGAACCUUCUUCGUGAUGGGGAUUGGGGAUUGCAAUUAUUCCCCAUGAACGAGGAAUUCCCAGUAGGCGCGAGUCAUAAGCUUGCGUCGAUUACGUCCCUGCCCUUUGUACACACCGCCCGUCGCUACUACCGAUCGAGUGAUUUAG
rnacentral:rRNA from 1 species